rnacentral:rRNA from 1 species
AUUGAACGCUGGCGGCGUGCCUAACACAUGCAAGUCGAGCGGUAACAGGUGUAGCAAUACAUGCUGACGAGCGGCGAACGGGUGAGUAAUGCUUCGGAAUCUGCCCAUGUAGUGGGGGAAUAACCAGCCGAAAGGUUGGCUAAUACCGCAUACGACCUACGGGUGAAAGCAGGGGAUCGCAAGACCUUGCGCUAUUGGAUGAGCCGAAGUCGGAUUAGCAGUUGGUAGGGUAACGGCCUACCAAGGCGACGAUCCGUAGCUGGUCUGAGAGGACGACCAGCCACACUGGGACUGAGACACGGCCCAGACUCCUACGGGAGGCAGCAGUGGGGAAUAUUGGACAAUGGGGCAACCCUGAUCCAGCGACGCCGCGUGUGUGAAGAAGGCCUGC